rnacentral:lncRNA from 1 species
GGAUGAUGCCCUGGGCCGCUCUCCCUGGGGCUGGCCUGGCCGACUGCCGCGGGGAUGCAGGGGAGGGGCCUGAACCAGCGCCUCCAUCCUGCACUUCUGCUCCUGCCCCCUCUUCAAUCCACUGCCCAAGAUGACCACAGUGCAUCCAUUCAAACCGCAUGUAAAAGACUAGUCAAGGAUGUGGGGGAAAGUUCAUGAUGCAGCAUUAACUGGGAAAGGCAGGCCACAAGAUGAUGAAGAUACUGAGGGUCAGGGAAGCAGAGUGACAACCCUGUUAAGAAGCUCAGGAGCUGACAUCACAGUCGAGGGCCCUGUGACCCCACUCUGCCUCCAUAGGACUGCAGUUAAGAUGAAAGAGACGCCUGCUCCUGCAGGCCCCCCUCCUCCGUGCUGCAGCUGGCCUCGUCUUUCGUCUUCCGAUGGCCCAUUCUUGGCGAUAAUCUGGAGCUUCUAAACUGGGGGCCCCCAUCCUUUCCUUGCCAGUGACCCCUUAAAAAUCAAUUUCUAUACAAAUAUCCAAUCAUUGUGUUGUAUACCUCAAACUAAUAUAAAGUUAUAUGUCAAUUAUCCCUCAAUAAAAACAAUUGAUUUAAAAAUUACAAAAA